AAUUAAAGAACAGAACAUUGUUCUUGCUCUUGGAAAUUCAAUUCCAAAUGUUGGCCACUAGGAACAGAAUACUUACAAUAGCAAAUUCCAAACUUUGCAUCCAAAGUCUUAUCUCUUUUCAAUAAUAAGAACAAAUACCGUUGGGAGCUAACUGCACCAAGACGUGAAAAGCAGAACAAAUGCGUUCCAAAAAUUUCAAAGAAUUCAAGCAAAUCUCGUUCAACAUAUUUCACUGAAGCAGAAGCUUCAUUUGAUUCGAAUAAUUCCAAGAACAGCGCUAAGAAAUUGGAGAGGAUGGAGAACUACUCAUAUAGUGAGUGGGGAAAAUCUUGCAAAGGAAGAGUGUUUGUAUAUUUGUACAACACAUGAUUUUGCGCGGGGCUCCUUUUGACGUUCGGAAUCAGUCUUACUCAUACUUCACGCACGCCUCUAUAAUGUAACGAGAAGUGCAUGUAUCAAACUUUCAGAGCGGAUCUUCAAUAAUUCAAACCAGAUUUUAUAAAGGAGUACGGUGCAAUAUUUCUAAGAGAAUUGGCUCAGGUCCCGAUAGAUAGGUCGAGAGCCCUCUAACUAGGCUA